AUUAAUUUACAAGUAAUUAACAUGCUAAAACAUUUUAUAAUUCGCUUCAAUAACGUGUAUAGAUAACACAAAAAUUAACUCUGGCCUACCUUAGGCUACAUGAUCACAGACAAGCUGAUGUAAUUAAAAUGAGAAGAUUUAUUUCUUGGUACUUUCAUGGCUUUAUUUUUACAUUAAAGUCUUUUAUGAUGUAUUAUUUAUUGCUAUCUUCCACCAAAUGCUUGGCCAGUCAAUCCCAGGGUGAUCUUAAUAAUAACAACUAAUACAUGUAAACCAUAAACAUUUAUGAAAAUUAUAUAUCCUCAUAUAAAUUUCAUAACAUAUGUAAGUUACAAAAGAAAGAAAAAGUCAACGAGGAUAUGGGGGAAGCCAAAAGGAAUACAAACUAACAAAUGAACCUAACUAUGUACAAAUUAUGCAAAUCACAUAAUUUGCAGGAGGUGGAAAGAAAGAAAAGAACUCAUCUAGGCAACUUUUGAAACCAGUACUUAGAUGCUACAGGUCAAACACAAAAACAACAGUACACGAUUAAGGAAGUAAGGUGCCUCCAUAGUGACUGCGCCUCCCUGGGGCACAGGUUGAACAGUUCACCUACAGCACUGACAUGGCCUAAGCGAAUGUCCUGUCAAUCUGAGAGCCAGGUUUCUCCCUGUCACAGGAAGAAACUACACAUAAGGAAAGGGGCAGAAGCAACAAGCACAGCCAGUGCCCAGGUCUUGGUUGCUAAAUCCCAGUCUCCAGUGAGGGAGGGCUCCCUGGAGAAGCAGCUGGGUGCAGAGCUGGGACAAGGAAAACUGAAG
rnacentral:lncRNA from 1 species